rnacentral:rRNA from 1 species
CCUGCCCUUUGUACACACCGCCCGUCGCUACUACCGAUUGAAUGGUUUAGCAAGGUCCUCGGAUUGGUGCCAUUGUAGUUGCUUCGGCAGCUCGACCGGUGCUGAGAAGACGACCAAACUUGAUCAUUUAGAGGAAGUAAAAGUCGUAACAAGGUUUCCGUAGGUGAACCUGCGGAAGGAUCAUUACAGUACACCAAAUCCAAAUAUCUCAGUUAAUCUGAGUAAUUGGCGCGGGUCGUCAUACCCGUGUAUCUUGCAGACUUGUCUGCCUAGGGCGGAGCGUUUCUAGUUCCGUCAUAUAUUUAUAUAUUCGGUAAAGCUGGGGCCGAAUCUUGCAGCAUUGACUGCCUAGGGCGGAGCGACUCUAGUUCCGUCAUACAAUGGUCGAUAUAGGCGACCUGUGAAUGUGACCGUGACUGGUCACAACAGUACACAUAACUCAGCUCAAUCACUGAGUACGUAUGUUGGUCUGUGGCGACUUGCAGCUUUGUCUGCCUAGGGCGGAGCGACUAGUUCCGUCAUCUUGUACUUUCAGUGACUGAGUUUGACUUGCAGCAUUGUCUGCCUAGGGCGGAGCGAAUUUAGUUCCGUCAUGUUGUACUUGGUGCAGGUUUUUAUGCCUGUGCAUAUUGCAGCAUUGUCUGCCUACGGUGGAGCGCCUCUAGUUCUACCAAUCACUGGCUCUGCCUGGUGUAUGUACUCAGUAUGUAUGCCUACGUAGAGUCGAAUUUUCGGCAGGGUGCCUACCCGUCUGAUGCUCUCGGUGUGCUUGCUUCCAUUGGUGGCCAGUCCACAUUGUGGGUGACGGGAUGUGCUGUCAGCAUAGACAGUGCUAGGCUUAAUGAGUGGGCAUCUAUAGAGCCACGGCUCACCCACCGCCCUGAUAUCGUUGUUUUAAACCUGUUUUACACUGUUAAAGUGUUUCAGGCUGGCUUGUCUGGCUUGUCUCACUGCCCCGACAUGCACCCGGUGUUUACACUGGACUGCAUGUGCAGUCGCCUGGCGGUGCCUUAUCCCGGGUACGACUGAUAAUGCAUCGAUCUUUUGGGUAACCAUUUGAUCGAGGUGAGUACAACUCUGAGCGGUGGAUCACUCGGCUCGUGUGUCGAUGAAGAGCGCAGCCAACUGUGUGAAUUAAUGCGAACUGCAUACUGCUUUGAACAUCGACAUCUUGAACGCAUAUUGCGGCCAUGGGUUUUCCUGUGGCCACGCCUGUCCGAGGGUCGGCUUAUAAACUAUCACGACGCCCAAAAAGUCGUGGCUUGGGUCUUGCCAGCUGGCAUGAUUUCCCUGCGCUUUUGCGUGGGGUGCCGGAUCUAUGGCUUUUCCUUAAUGUGCCGGACGCAACCAUAUCUGGGCUGACUGCCUGGAUGAGGGAGUGGCGGCGGAGUCGUGGCUCAAUUGUGAUUAUGUAUGCGCGCUCCGUUGUUGUUUCUUCGUCUUUGGCUGAAGUUUUAGUUGUGGCAAUGCAUCCGAUGCAAAUUGGUUUUGCACUUCGGUGCUUAACUUUCCUGACCUCGGAUCAGACGUGAAUACCCGCUGAACUUAAGCAUAUCACUAAGCGGAGGAAAAGAAACUAACCAGGAUUCCCUCAGUAAG